CAAACCGGUAGGGUUUAAACAAAGGUUGAGCGGUUAACAAGUCAUCAUAAUGACACAGUUAUUCUAUGUCACUUCAUUUAAAAAGAAAAAAAAAAUCACUCAGUUUGACAGUUCGCUUUCCCGCCAACAAAGAUCGUAAAGUAAGUCCCAGGCACCAUUAUUAUUGUCAAAAUUGGAUACUUUUCAUAAUAUAAAGUGUGUUUAAAUAACUCGACAAUGUUCCAUGUGUAGCUAUAACACGGCACUGGCAGAAAUUGCUGAAAGUAUCGACAGGUCGCCAUUAAAAAAAAAAAAAAGGUCGUAAACAUCAAAACAUGAAAUAUGACAAAAUUAAAUGUACACAAGCCAGGAUGAACGUUUGUUUCGCGGUAAUAAUAAUUUAAUUUAUAACUCCGGUUAAUUUCGGCAUGUUCAUUACGAUCACAAGUCGUCGUGGCCUAAAGGAUAAGACGCCCGGUGUAUUCGUAUCGACUGAUGCGACCGUGCCGGUGUUCGAAUCCCGCAAACAGAAUCAUCAUUUGGAUCAUUUAUGUUCGUGUUAAUCAACACACAGUGCAUCAGCUGAAUCAAAUUACGUUUCUCUAAUCAAAAUGUGAUGGAUACAAUAAAUAAACGUAAAAGUUCCACA